rnacentral:antisense_RNA from 1 species
AACGCGUCAUAGACGUCGUCGAAAUACCCG